rnacentral:rRNA from 1 species
GACGAACGCUGGCGGCGUGCUUAACACAUGCAAGUCGAACGGAAAGGCCCUGCUUUUGUGGGGUGCUCGAGUGGCGAACGGGUGAGUAACACGUGAGUAACCUGCCCUUGACUUUGGGAUAAUUUCAGGAAACUGGGGCUAAUACCGGAUAGGAGCUCCUGCUGCAUGGUGGGGGUUGGAAAGUUUCGGCGGUUGGGGAUGGACUCGCGGCUUAUCAGCUUGUUGGUGGGGUAGUGGCUUACCAAGGCUUUGACGGGUAGCCGGCCUGAGAGGGUGACCGGCCACAUUGGGACUGAGAUACGGCCCAGACUCCUACGGGAGGCAGCAGUGGGGAGUAUUGCACGAUGGGCGGGAGCCUGGUGCAGCAACGCCGCGUGCGGGAUGACAGCCUUCGGGUUGAAAACCGCUUUCGCCUGUAACAAAGCGUGUGUGACGGUAAUGGGUAAAGAAGCACCGGCUAACUACGUG